rnacentral:lncRNA from 1 species
GGGACGGUAGCUGCGGUGCGGACCGGAGGAGCCAUCUUGUCUCGUCGCCGGGGAGUCAGGCCCCUAAAUCGAAGAAGCCCUGGCGCGCCCUCCCCCCCUCCCGGGUCUGCCUACAGACCUGGUACCUGGAUUUUUGCCCGAGAUGAUUCCUACCACCUUACUACUGACGAAGACACCCAUUCCAGUGGACCACUGUGACCCAGGAGGCAUUCAGCCAUCAUGAUGUGGCCUUUACCUCCACUCCUGUCUUGUUCUACCCAGAUUCAGCACAGCCCUUUAUAGUGAAGUCAGAGUCCUCAAGCCAAAUAGCUAAAGCUGUUUUAUCACAACAAAGGCCUAGUUUGUUCCAUGAGUGUGCAUUUCAUUUCUUCAGUUAAAGCCUUCAGAGACACACAAUAAAUUUGGACCAGGGGAUUUUUUAGUUAUUAAUGCUCUCUGAAGAAAGGCAACAUCUUUUUGAGAGCAGCAUUGGACCACACCCCACAAUCUCAAAUGAUUGAAAUUCAUGAACAUCUAGGAUCCCGUGAAGGUCACUGGACCCUGUUUUUUCUACUUCAAAUCCUGUAGUAGCCUACUGAAUGAGAAAACAUAUUCUGACCCAUUGGGAUCAAAUCAAAGGCACAGUGAACUCCUCAUAGCAUCUUCUUUGGAAUUACUCAGGAACCAGAACUUUUUACACAAAUGUAAGAAAUUCUACCAAGGAGUCCCCUUACCUAACAGCAUCUCACAAGGCUGCACCAGAUUCCAGAAAAGGCUUCUCUUGAUACAUCAAGGUAGAACCUCUAUGCAUUUUGUGACCGACUUAUUCUUAGAUCAUUGGUUUUCCAAAGGCUUUGUGGCCAUGAAGCCCUUUGAGUGAAAACUGUGCAGAAGCCCAGAGUAAAAGUGAAGCUGCUCUGGAUGAAGUAGUGAAGCAAGAGUAGGGGCCUGAAUCCUGCUACAACUAUCUUCCUUUACCACCGUGGUGACACCUAAGGGGACUUCCUUACAACACCUUGAACUCUUCCGAACACAGUUUGAAAACCACUGCCCCAGACAGCAAUAUGUUUGACCUGAAUGGCAUUCCAAUCUUUUCUGUACCUCCACUCAGCACAGUUCAUGUUCAGUAGAUGCUGAACAUUCUUAGAAAUACUGUGUGUGAACUUAGAAAAGUGCAAGAAGACAGGCAUGUCUUUGACCCCAGGAAUGAUCAUUUGCUGAAGAUGGUGUCAAGUGAACCUAGAUUAACAGCCCUCCACUCCAGAUGGAUAUCCAGUGAUUCCUAGAAUGGGAUAUAGCCAGAGAACAAUUCUAUGCACCCUACACUGACAGACUCCCUUAAGCAACACCAGAUGCUCUACUGGUACUUGAAGUACAUGACUUUGAAGUCUUGACCCUCCAUGAAUACCUGAAUUAUCAGCAAGCGGGUUUUGAAGCUGGUGCCUCAUUGAGGCCAUAUUAGAGCAACUUGUACAUUUGACCUCUUGUUAUCAGCCAUGGUACUCUACUUCGUGUGCAAGAGAUAACUAUGAAAGCCAAAUUCAAAUACUGGCAACAUUUCCUAAAGGGGCUCAAUAUCUAUCAUUCGUCUUCUUUUCCAAACUACACAUCACUGUAUGACUCAACCAGUAGCAGUUAUAUUGCCCCUUGGUUUUUAUUCAGUUUAACUACUGUUUCCAAGAUAAAUGAGCUAAUAAGCUUUAAAAAAAAAAAAAAAAAAGGCUGAAUUCUUUUUUCUUCAUCACUGGCAUAUCUGCCUAUUCUCCAGAAUUAUUAUGACUAUUCAGCUCACUUUAACAGUUGAACUUCAAGCGACAAUCUUUGAACACCCCUUCUCAUGUGAUUUAAAAUGAAACCAUUUGGAAAAGUUUCUUCUAGCCAGUAAUAGAUUUUUUUUUUAAUUGCUCUGCCUUGUGCCGAGAGAUGUUCUUUUAAGAUGAAUCUUUUGAUGUCUGAUACCACCAAAUAUAGGUGGUAGGGAGAGUUGGAGGCUGGCCCUUUGAGCAGGCCAUUAGCUUACUUGCUGGGCAUUUCCGAUAGCUUAUUGCCUACCUUUUUGCUGGAAACAAACUGAUUUGAAAAACAAAAUCUAUGAAGACUGCAGCUAAGGAUUUUAUCGGUAGACUUAAGAGCUUUUGUCCUUGUGGAUAUUUUAGUGGAACCACAUCAGUCUCAAUACUGUCAUUUUACACUGACUCAGAGCAGCUGACUUCAUUCCUUGCCAUGAUAUAUAUUUAAGGCAGGCAUUGUAACAGACAUAAAGACAACUUAUCUGUUUCAGCAGGAAGGAUUCAGUUUAUGAACUCUCAGACCAGAUCAUGUUGAACAAGGAGACUUUGAUGUGUGUCAUGAGAAAACUCAUUCUUUACUUCCCAGUCAAUUUAAAGGCCAGCUAUCCUGAGCUACUCGAAUGAAUGCACUGGUUAAACAUUGGAAAUAGUUUGUUUAUAUCCUUGUCUCUCUCUAGGCCAAUUGUGAUUACAUGACUCGACUCUACAUCUCGUCAAACAAGGCCUAGGUCUGGUUGCUGUAGACUGCUCGCCCUCAACAAAUAAAAUCUGGUUGACUAGCCUCCUUGUAUAUACAACUAUUAUUUGUUAAGAAGAAAUUAUCGUCAAUUUUCUACUACCUUCCAAUUGUCAGCUCUUUUUUUCCUCUCUGGUUUUUCCUAUACUUUACAGAAAAAGACAUUGAUCUAUACUGCCAUUCCCUCUAAUCCUGCCAUACUCAGUCAAAAGGAAUGACUUAAGAUGAAGAUGAUCAUCUGCUCGAGUCUAAAAUAUACAUUGUAUAUAAGAAUUGGUGAUUAGAAAAGCAAAAAACCUAAAACUUAAAUCUAGGAGUCUGUAUACUGUCUCCAUGUCUCCAUGCCUCAGAUCUCAUCUAAAUCUUUGAACAGCACCAUUCAACCAAUCUGAGGCCUUGACUUGCUUGUAAGAUGAUUCUCAGAGAUCGGCUGAGUUAAAAAAGAUGACGACUUGAUUACCAAAGAAAGUAGGGCCAACUUUGACAAAUCUGGCUCUGCUGACCCUGUCACUCCCAGAUGUAGCAUAGACUCCUAAACAGAACCUCAAGUCUGAUUGAGGAUAAGGCCUUCUCCUGAGCUGAAAGUUCUUUGGCAGAUGAGCAAGAAACUGAAAGCUGAUGUACCUGACUGGCUCUGUAAGAUCAGAAAACUGUAUCCAGAAUAAGCCCUAUGGAUUAACCCCUGAGUACCCAGAGUAAAAACUAAUUUACAGAACUUCCUUAUUGAUCUGCUGGUUCUUCCAGAUCAUAUUCUGGCUAUUGGUAUGGCUGGCCUUUCUGAAGGUACCCUGCUUGUCUAUUUUCCUGACUCAGCUCUUGCCUGCCUUUUUCACAUGUUGCUGCAAUUAGACUCACCGUGAGGACUACAGUCAAUUUCAGUCUAUCUUGUGCCCAAUACAACAAGGAUUUUUAAUAGUAACAACCCACACCUCACCCACUAGGACUCAAUGUUCACAACAGGAAGGACCAUUGCUGCAUACUCCUUGACCAGCAACUUUUUUGAAGAUAUUUUUAAGUGCAGAGUAGGCCUCUAUUCCUGUAUGUAAUUGUUCAUUUUCAGCACCUGGAACCUCAUCUAUCGGGUCUGGAAGGAAUACAGCAGUUCGAAAGCCGCGUCCAUUUCUCUCCUUCAGUAGUGCAGAAAUGAGUCCGAUUCACCAGUACACACAGAACUGUACCAGUUCAACCUAGCAAAAGAAGAAAAGUUUCCACUGUACUUAAAAUUUACAGCUGACUCAAAUUGCCUCACAGAAUUAUUUGAUGUAGAAGGCUAGUUGUCUUACUUCAGAUCAGCAGGACAGUUGGGCUCUCAGACUCAUGACCACUGAGUUUGCUUGUGUUGAAACUGUGGUUUCAUCCAACAUAUGCUAUUGGACAUGAUUAUUAUUCCAUUCAAAUGGAUUACAGACUUCUUGAGGACAGGACAAACUUAUCUCUCAUGGUGUUUUUUUAGAAUACUUUUAUAACCAAGGAAGAAACCAUGCCAGCUGUUACCAUUCAACUUCUUAAGCAGAGAUUAAGCUUUUUCAUAUCUGUUCUUAUCCUGGACAUCAGUAGUUUUUAAUUGCCCAGCAUCCGUUCCAUCUUGUAACAACUCCCUGAUGUUUCUUAAAACCACCUCUUCCUAUUUUCAGUCUGUGGUUUGGACAGUCUGACCCAACCUUGAGCUUUGUGGGUGAACAUGUAAUUCAGACCUCAUCAAUCAGCAAAUCCAUCUGAACUGUGGAGGAGAAGCUCUCUUUACUGAGGGUGCUUUAGCUUUGUAGGAUGAAAACCUCAAACUAACAGGGCCUACCAUGUAGAGAAUGAAGCCAGUGCAGGGGAAAGCAGAGCCAAAAUAUGGAGAGACUUGAAUCCUGAUGACAGCGUUUGUGCCCCUGGAUCCAACCGUGCCUGAAGCUAGAAUAUCCCCUGGACUUUUCAGUUAUGUGAACCAAUAAAUAC